rnacentral:misc_RNA from 1 species
UGUAGCAACAGCUGUUCUUCUACCAG